UACGAAGGGUGCAAGCGUUACUCGGAAUCACUGGGCGUAAAGCGUGCGUAGGCGGUUCGUUAAGUCUGCUGUGAAAGCCCUGGGCUCAACCUGGGAACUGCAGUGGAUACUGGCGGACUAGAGUGUGAUAGAGGAUGGUGGAAUUCCCGGUGUAGCGGUGAAAUGCGUAGAGAUCGGGAGGAACACCAGUGGCGAAGGCGGCCAUCUGGAUCAACACUGACGCUGAGGCACGAAAGCGUGGGGAGCAACAGG
rnacentral:rRNA from 1 species